rnacentral:rRNA from 1 species
GACGAACGCUGGCGGCGUGCUUAACACAUGCAAGUCGAACGGUGAUGCUCCAGCUUGCUGGAGUGGAUCAGUGGCGAACGGGUGAGUAACACGUGAGCAACCUGCCCCAGACUCUGGAAUAAGCGCUGGAAACGGCGUCUAAUACUGGAUACGAAACUGGCCCGCAUGGGCAUGGUUUGGAAAGUUUUUCGGUUUGGGAUGGGCUCGCGGCCUAUCAGCUUGUUGGUGAGGUAAUGGCUCACCAAGGCGACGACGGGUAGCCGGCCUGAGAGGGAGACCGGCCACACUGGGACUGAGACACGGCCAAGACUCCUACGGGAGGCAGCAGUGGGGAAUAUUGCACAAUGGGCGAAAGCCUGAUGCAGCGACGCCGCGUGAGGGAUGACGGCCUUCGGGUUGUAAACCUCUUGCAGCAGGGAAGAAGCGAAAGUGACGGUACCUGCAGAAGAAGCACCGGCUAACUACGUG